GUGCCUGGACUUGGAGAACCAGGAGGUGAGGGGACUGACUACUUGAAGAUCACAUGGAGGAGGAGUCUGAUCCAGGCCCAGACCUUUUCUGUUUUGGAUCAUAAAAUGUCAAAGGCACACUAUCAUGAACCACAGUUUCUCUAAAUUUAGCUUUACUUAUUAGUAUGCAGUCAUAUCUAAGUUAAUAAGAUGUCAUGCUUAAAAUAAUAAAAUCCAUUUCUUUGGAAAUAUACUGUAUAUAGAUGGGACUACCAGCUAUGAAGGAGUGAAGCGGUUAACAAAUCCUCUCCCUGCAAAGCAAUUAUAAAGCUGGACAAAAUUGUCGAAAACAAUUAUUUCAGGGCUCUGGAAAUUGACAAGGGGCAAGCAAAUUGAGAAAUUUAUGUUCUCAAGAAACUAUGGAGAUUCAAGUAAACACAGUGGAAAUACAUGGCAUUCUUGCUGAAACUGCCUCCACCAGUCAACAUGGUUGUUUGACCUGGACAGCACAGGCCUUCACUUGAUUUGAAGUGAAAAGUAGAAACCCACAGUCAGCAGCAAGUGGGAAAAGCUUGCAGAUUUCCUAGACUGAAGUUGCAAUCCUGGUUGGGAUGAGCAGUAUUGAACUAACCAGAAAUUUAACAGGAAGGUCGUGGAAAUGAACUAGCAUUGAGAGCUUGACAAGCAUUCCAUAUCCCUGUCUGUCUGGGAACCUGUAUGCAUGCACAGCCCAAGAGGGCCCAGUGUUAACAUAACACCUAGGGCAGACCCAAAUUUGAAUACAUUUCCCAUUUCAAUC
rnacentral:lncRNA from 1 species